CCUACGGGAGGCAGCAGUGAGGAAUAUUGGUCAAUGGGCGCGAGCCUGAACCAGCCAAGUAGCGUGAAGGAUGACUGCCCUACGGGUUGUAAACUUCUUUUAUAGGGGAAUAAAGGUAUCCACGUGUGGAUAUUUGCAUGUACCCUAUGAAUAAGCAUCGGCUAACUCCGUGCCAGCAGCCGCGGUAAUACGGAGGAUCCGAGCGUUAUCCGGAUUUAUUGGGUUUAAAGGGAGCGUAGGUGGAUUGUUAAGUCAGUUGUGAAAGUUUGCGGCUCAACCGUAAAAUUGCAGUUGAAACUGGCAGUCUUGAGUACAGUAGAGGUGGGCGGAAUUCGUGGUGUAGCGGUGAAAUGCUUAGAUAUCACGAAGAACUCCGAUUGCGAAGGCAGCUCACUGGACUGCAACUGACACUGAGGCUCGAAAGUGUGGGUAUCAAACAGGAUUAGAUACCCGGGUAGUC
rnacentral:rRNA from 1 species